AAGAGAUGCGCAAUCAUUUUUUCGACCUCAGAUUAG
rnacentral:rRNA from 1 species